rnacentral:rRNA from 1 species
CCCUACGGGGCGCAGCAGGCGCGAAAACUCUACAAUGCAGGCAACUGCGAUAGGGGGACAUCGAGUGGCAUCCACCUUGGGUGCCUGUCCAACCGUCUAAAAAACGGUUGUUAGCAAGGGCCGGGUAAGACCGGUGCCAGCCGCCGCGGUAAUACCGGCGGCUCGAGUGGUGGCCGAUAUUAUUGAGUCUAAAGGGUCCGUAGCCGGCUUUGCAAGUCCCCUGGGAAAUCCAGCGGCUUAACCGUUGGGCUUUCAUGGGAUACUACAUUGCUUGGGACUGGGAGAGGUAGGAGGUACUCGGGGGGUAGGGGUGAAAUCCUGUAAUCC